GAUGAACGCUGGCGGCGUGCCUAAUACAUGCAAGUCGAGCGAACAGACGAGGAGCUUGCUCCUUCGACGUUAGCGGCGGACGGGUGAGUAACACGUAGGUAACCUACCUAUAAGACUGGGAUAACUUCGGGAAACCGGAGCUAAUACCGGAUAAUAUUUCGAACCGCAUGGUUCGAUAGUGAAAGAUGGCUUUGCUAUCACUUAUAGAUGGACCUGCGCCGUAUUAGCUAGUUGGUAAGGUAACGGCUUACCAAGGCAACGAUACGUAGCCGACCUGAGAGGGUGAUCGGCCACACUGGAACUGAGACACGGUCCAGACUCCUACGGGAGGCAGCAGUAGGGAAUCUUCCGCAAUGGGCGAAAGCCUGACGGAGCAACGCCGCGUGAGUGAUGAAGGUCUUCGGAUCGUAAAACUCUGUUAUUAGGGAAGAACAAACGUGUAAGUAACUGUACACGUCUUGACGGUACCUAAUCAGAAAGCCACGGCUAACUACGUG
rnacentral:rRNA from 1 species